UGACCUCAGAUCAGACAAGAUUACCCGCCGAAUUUAAGCAUAUUACUAAGCGGAGGAAAAGAAACUAACAAGGAUUCCCCUAGUAACGGCGAGCGAACCGGGAAGAGCCCAACUUGAAAAUCUGGCAGCUUCGCUGUCCGAAUUGUAGUCUAAAGAAGCGUCCUCUGUAGCGGACCGGGCCCAAGUUCCCUGGAAUGGGACGUCAGAGAGGGUGAGAGCCCCGUCGACCCCGGACCCUGCUACUCCACGAGGCGCUGUCGCCGAGUCGGGUUGUUUGGGAAUGCAGCCCUAAAUGGGUGGUAAAUUCCAUCUAAGGCUAAAUACUGGCGAGAGACCGAUAGCGAACAAGUACCGCGAGGGAAAGAUGAAAAGAACUUUGAAAAGAGAGUUAAAAGUGCUUGAAAUUGUUGAGGGGGAAGCGAAUGGAAGCAGAGGUGCGCCUCGGUUUUAUGUGGGGGUUCGCGCCCCCGCCUAUCAACGCGAGGCGCUGGUCAGCGUGGGUUAGCCUGGCGGGAAAAAAGCAGGGGUUGUUACCCUGUCCAUAUCGCCGGGCUGACCGAGGUCUGAAGGGCGCGCUUCGGCGAGCUUCGGCAUCUGCGCCCUCAGGACGCUGGCUCAAUGCUUCCAUCCGGCCCGUCUUGAAACACGGACCAAGGAGUCUAACAUGUAUGCGAGCCGGUGGGUGGCAAACCCAUGAGGCGCAAGUAACCUGAUUGGUGGGAUU
rnacentral:ncRNA from 1 species